UACAGAGGGUGCGAGCGUUGUUCGGAAUUAUUGGGCGUAAAGCGCGUGUAGGCGGCAUAGCAAGUCGGGGUGUGAAAGCCCCUCAGCUUAACUGAGGAAGUGCGCCCGAAACUGCUGUGCUUGAGUGCCGGAGAGGAGAGUGGAAUUCCCAGUGUAGAGGUGAAAUUCGUAGAUAUUGGGAAGAACACCGGUGGCGAAGGCGGCUCUCUGGACCGAGACUGACGCUGAGGCGCGAAAGCGUGGGGGAGCAAACAGG
rnacentral:rRNA from 1 species